UGUGGGAGGGGGCUUGCUCCCGAUAGCGGUGUAUCAGGCACUGAUGUUUGGCUGAUUCACCGCUAUCGGGAGCAAGCCCCCUCCCACA
rnacentral:misc_RNA from 1 species